CUCUCUGCCUCUUUUGCACCUUUGGCUUCUGGCUCUGUACUUGGCUCUCCUCUCUCCCUGCCCCCCCCCACGUGCUUCAGGGUCAAGACCACUCCUCUAGACUCUCCCAGAUGUGUCUGCCUCUGGCUAUGCUCUCCCAGGUGUCUAUAAUAAAUUUUCCCUCCACCAUACGUAGGAACGGGCAUGUCCUUUUAUUUUUUUUUCCUUUUUAUUUAUUUAUUUUCAUCCAAUGUCAUGUGUGUGCAGGUGCCCACCCAGAACAGAAAAGGAUGCCGAGUCUCCUGGAGCUGGAAUUACAGUCACUGUAAGCUGCUCUCGGCCUGCCUGUACCCCACGGAAGUUGGAACAUAUUGGAAUAACUGCACCCAUGGCUGUCAAGGACUACCUGGGCCUCUGGACUAACAUGGCAGGAAUUGUAACUUCUUCCUCAGCUUUCUCAACGGCAGUUUUAUUUAUGCAUUUCCUUUCUUCAGUCUGUUUUGGUAAAUUAUGCUUUUCCUAGAAGAUUGUAAUAGGUUUUCACCAGCGCGAUAGGCCAGAUCAGAUCACCGUAAAAGUAAAUAGGUGCACGUUUAUUGGGCGCAGCUCCUGGGUGGGUUCGCAGGUCCCAGAGAACAGAGCCAGGGAAACCACGAGCCCAGGCUAAGGCCAGGGGGUUUAUAGAUCUCGGGCGAUGAUGUAUCAGCCAGGAGCCGGAACUGUGCCCAAAUAUAGUCAAAAGCUGAUCGCUUACACGGGUGGGCUGGCAGAUUGCAUCAGCUGCUGGAAAUGCGGAACUGAGAUUUGGGGGCCUUUUGGGGGGGGGUAUCCGAGACAGGGUUUCUCUGUGCAGCCCUGGCUGUCCUGGAACUCACUCUGGAGACCAGGUUGGCCUCGAACUCAGAAAUUCACCUGCCUCUGCCUCCCAAGUGCUGGGACUAAAGGCGUGCGCCACCACACCCGCCUUUGGGGCCCUUCUUUUGUUCAGAGUUUUUCAGUGUGCGAGGGUUUGGGCGGAGAUUAGACGGGGCUCCCCAGGCCACGCAGGGGUGAGCAGUGGACUCCAAGCUCCAACCAAACAGCUUGAUCAUUUUUUUCCUAGCAGGAAUCUCUUCCUAGAAAUCGUGUGUGUAUGUGUGUGUGUGUGUGUGUGUGUGUGUGUGUGUGUGUGUGUUUAUGUGUAUGUGUUUACAUGUAUAUGUGUAUGUAGAGGUGCCUGUGGAGGACAGAGGACAAACUUGAGUGUCGUUCUGCCCUCCACGUUGAUUCCUUGAGAUGAAUUCUCUUUCUGGCUAGGCUGGCUGGCCGUCAAGCGCCAUGGAGCCAACUGCUCUCCAUCUCCCCGUGCUAGAAUUGCGUCUGCGCAGUAGGUCACCCAGCCUCUUGACGUUGGCUCUGGGCUCGAACUGGAGUUCUCCGGCCAUCAUUUUUCCACAGUGAGCAUCUCACCAACGGAGUCUUCAUCUAACCAUUGUUCCUGGGUUUUUGAGACACAGUCUGGACACAUAGUUCGGGCUAGCUUAGAACUCAAUGCUGAGACCAGGUUGGCGUCAAACUUGGAACAGUCCUCCUGCCUUAGCCUCGGGAAUGCUAGGGUUAUAAGCACAUACCAGCAGGCUUGGCUCUAGCAAUUUCUUGGAACAUGGUGAGAUUUCAGGCUACAUUAACUACAUGGAGCUUGGAUCUGAAACAGCCCGUGGGAGUGCCGCCGUGAGAUGGGUUCCAUCCCCAGGACUGCAUACACCCUGUGUGGUGGAGGCAGGAGGAUCAGGAGUUCAGAAUUAGGCUGAUCUACAUAAUGAGCCUGGGUUACAUGAGACCAUCUCUCAAAAACCAAACAAAGCCACGUGUCAUGCAUGCUUUAGAAUGGUCUUAGUUACUUAAAUUGCUGUCUCUAAUUUUCAUUCUCUGCCCAAGACCAUGUUUUCUUCUGAUGGGCUGAUUGCACGUGGUUAGGAACUUCCUGGUUCCGUCUAAUUGAGACCAAGUUAACAUCUGAGGGUAUAGACCCUGGCCAACAGUGUGAUCUCCUUAGUCCCCAGAAGAUGACCAUCAUUUUCCCUUCUUGUCUGCAAGAAGACAGGUGAUAAUUAAAUGACUCCUGGCACCUCUUCAUCCUGGAGUCUCCCUGGUCCCAGGUAGCCACCCACACAAUGGUGGUGUCUACCGCCCUCUUGUGGCGGAGGGAGUUUUUGUUCUUUCCAGUUUCUCAUCUGACAAAAAGUUCCAACAGCAGGGUGGCAGAAGUGAGUGGGUGAGUGUGGGUGUCAAAUAUUUACAUCUGAGCAUCGCGCUAAGUGACAUUAGGGGUAAAUGCGGAGGAGGAUCCAGAGACCCCGGUAAGCUGAACACCUUUAAGCAAGAUCCAGGUUGCCAAAUGAGGUGGGUUUGGCCAAAUGCUGCUUGUUUUCUAAUGUUAAUUUGGGUCCCCAAAACUGCAAGUAGUGUCUGUAAGUAGCUUCUGGGAACCUGCCCCCAAUGGAAUCUGACUGUUAAAUAAAAAUGCCAACAGCCAAGCUGGGGAGGACAGACAGAGGUCGGGUAUUUUUAAUUUCCUGGGGCUUGGGACAGACGGAGAAGGGUAGCUACCAUGUGAAGGAGCCGGGAGAGUGUGGCCAGAGAGGAUUGCCCAGCUGGGUCCAGGGCAGCGAAGAGAGAACAGAGAUUAUUGGCACGUG
rnacentral:lncRNA from 1 species